UGGGGAAUAUUGCACAAUGGAGGGAACUCUGAUGCAGCAACGCCGCGUGCGGGAUGACGGCCUUCGGGUUGUAAACCGCUUUCAGCCAUGACGAAGCUUUUGUGACGGUAGUGGUAGAAGAAGCACCGGCUAACUACGUGCCAGCAGCCGCGGUGAUACGUAGGGUGCGAGCGUUGUCCGGAAUUAUUGGGCGUAAAGAGCUUGUAGGCGGUUUGUCGCGUCGAUAGUGUAAACACGCAGCUUAACUGUGUGCCUGCUGUCGAUACGGGCUGACUAGAGGAGGGUAGAGGAGAAUGGAAUUCCCGGUGGAGCGGUGGAAUGCGCAGAUAUCGGGAGGAACACCAGUGGCGAAGGCGGUUCUCUGGACCUUUCCUGACGCUGAGAAGCGAAAGCGUGGGUAGCAAACAGG
rnacentral:rRNA from 1 species